ensembl:lncRNA
UUGACUUGAAUACAGUUUAUUUUGUAUAUUGAUACAUAAUGCACAAAUAUAUACUGCUCUCAAAACAGAAAUCACUUCAUUAACAUUUCUAUAAUUCUGUCAGGUAGCAAUACUGUGAAGGCUAAACGAUUCUUUAAGGUAGCAAUACUGUGAAGGCUAAACGAUUCUUUAAGGCAGCAAUACUGUGAAGGCUAAACGAUUCUGUCAGGUAGCAAUACUGUGAAGGCUAAACCAUUAACAGUAUAUAAUGGCAAGUUGUUCCAGUGAAGAGGGACAGUCAUCUUGGGUAACAGCAUUGGACUGACGGUCACUGAGGGUUUCGGGUCCUCAUUCCAGCAGGAUUGUCUAGGCUUUAUAGCAAAAUAUGUUGCAGUAAAAGGAUUAUCUAUAAGGCUUUUGGCAGCUACAUAUUUAAAGAUACAUACUGAGAUAUAUAUUUUUUUUUUGGGGGGUCACAAUGAUCACCAGCCACUUGUUUUGGGAAACAACAGAGGGAUUUUCCAUAAGCCUUUGGGGGUGCCAGCCGCUUAUUUAAGUCUUCAGUUAGAUCUAUCUAUCUAUCUAUCUAUCUAUCUAUCUAUCUAUCUAUCUAUCUAUCUAUCUAUCUAUCUAUCUAUCUAUCUAUCUAUCUAUCCUACCUAUCUAUCUAUCUAUCUAUCUAUCUAUCUAUCUAUCUAUCUAUCUAUCUAUCUAUCUAUCUAUCUAUCUAUCUAUCUAUCAACUGUCUACCUAUCUAUCUACCUAUCUAUCUAUCUAUCUACCUACCUAUCUAUCUA